UUGCAAUUCAUAUCGUGUCUCAUGCAUGCACGAUGGAGUGACUACUGUGACCGCGCUAUGUCAUCGGCUAUGUUCCGUUUUGGCCUAGUUCCGUUCGAGCCGAUGCAUGGAAACAACUGAUGCACGGAUCACGAUGACGAAAAUGGGAACAACGGAAACAUAGAUUUUCGUGCGGACCGUUGCCGACUAGAGUACGGGGAAAGAUAUUUGUUUAAAUGAAAAAGAUGUCAAUUGAACGGAAGACUGUACAUCACAAAGGAUUCACUUCACGGGAUUUUGGCCACGAUUCGGGUACUUCACGGUGGAUUUGCGUCACGGAGAAGGGACACUUUCAGGGAGACAAUUAGACAACGCGAGAACGCGUUAAAGUGGAUGUACAGACGGCGGUGCACGCGGAGUUAUUUAGCAACGGAAUCACGAAGUACAAACAAUUUCGUUAACGAGCUUCGGCUAUUAGGGACGAUUGGAAGUCGAUUCUUGGGAUAGUUGCCCUUCGUGGGUGAAAUCGUUCGUGCAUUGCGUGUGGAACUCCGCGGAGUUGGGUUGCGUGUCACGUGCGAACCGGAUCUAUCCGUGCGUGUGCGAUUUCCAUGGUGCACGCUCCGAUAGAAAUGCGUUCCUCUCUUUCAGGUCGAGCGACAUCCCGCAACAUUUGUUGUCCAUUUCUGGGAUCUAUCAAUUUUUCUUUUAAUAGAAAUCUAUCUAAAAUCAUUUCCG